CCACUGUAAGGUUAUAAGCUCAUCCAGCAAAAAGGGAAGGCGAAUGUGCAAGGAAGAUGAGAGAAAAGGAAACACGGUGAACAAGGAAGGAUGCAUGGAAAACCAGAGAAAGCUUGAAGACCUCCCUCCUAGCCCACUGGUGGAAAACCAAGUCCUCUGAAGUUGGGAAAUGCUGGAUAUUUGUCUGUCUGGCCAACUCAAAUUCAGCCUGGUGUUUGUGUGUUCUGCUGUGAUCUUCAGUUGCUUUCAUCAUGGGCUCUUUCUUCCCCAGGGCCCUGAUUCGUAUGAAGUUAGAUCUGGUUACAAAAUCAAUGCUUUGAAAUUAGGAACUAUCAAACCUGGGGUUUCCCAAGUAUCCUCCAUUCUACAACACUGCCCAUCUGCCCUUCUCCAUUUUGUGCCUAGACCGAACACAAAAUAUGAGAAUUUAGACCAUCUGGGCAAAUGCAAAUGUGUUAUUUCCUAACUUCUGAAAGUCUGAUUUUGUCAGUGAUGCAAUCUCUGAACGCUCUUUCUCUGGUGAGCAAGAAGCAGUGUAAAAAAACUAUUGAAUCCAAUAAUCUGAAAGGAUAAGUGAUGUGAAUGGACUGUAGGUUACCAAUACAGCAUUACUGCACUUCUGUCACAAGCAGUCAGCGUUGAUGUCCCACUGAUGAUGGAGAGGCAGCUGCAUGUGAACAGAGUAGGCUUUCUUUAAAAAUUAAAUCAGCAAUGCAUAGUUGAAACUGACACUCGUUUUUUAUCUUAGGUGGAAAUAACUACUUAGGUGGAAAUUUCCUUAGGUAGCCCAUGACUACUGUACCCGAAUCGAAAGCUAGUAUAAACUCCAAAGCAGAGGAAGGAGGAAAGCAAUAACGGUGGGCUGUAAGCAGAAAUGCAGCCUUUGUACUUAACAGUAGAGCAGAAUUGUAAGAAAGCUGGCAGAUAUUUUAAAAUCAAUAGGAAGAUAGCCUCUGCAGCCCAGAAAACGAAUGAUGAAGUUUUAAGAACAACUGCACCCAUAAAGAAGACUAAAUAUUAUAGACACUUUUGUUUUGGAUCUUGCACCAGGCUGCUAAGCUGAGGCUUGUCAAACCUACACCUUGUUUUCAGUUUUCUCACUGAUCUGCUGCCUAUCGCAAGUAGAUCUAGACAUUCUGUGUUUUGCUUAGUCACCAAGUAGGCUUUUAUGGCAGAUUGUCCCUUUGCUAUGAAUUUUCCUUCAUGUGGAUGUCUAUGCCUAAGAUUAAUCCAAUAAUAAACAAUAUGCUACAAUUUGCA